rnacentral:sRNA from 1 species
CUGACAGCCCUGGGAGACUGAAAGCCCUAUGUUUAUCCCCAGAGCAGAUACAACACAACUAGCGAAAAAUGCAACUCUCCAUGAGCUACCCUGCCAAUGUAUUUCAGCCCUGAUCUACAGAGCCAGAAAAGUGUUCAGGACACUAGGAGUUACUGUAGUCAUCCAGGCUAUGCAGUCCUUUGUCUUU